rnacentral:rRNA from 1 species
GACGAACGCUGGCGGCGUGCCUAAUACAUGCAAGUAGAACGCUGAAGAGAGGAGCUUGCUCUUCUUGGAUGAGUUGCGAACGGGUGAGUAACGCGUAGGUAACCUGCCUUGUAGCGGGGGAUAACUAUUGGAAACGAUAGCUAAUACCGCAUAACAAUGGAUGACACAUGUCAUUUAUUUGAAAGGGGCAAUUGCUCCACUACAAGAUGGACCUGCGUUGUAUUAGCUAGUAGGUGAGGUAAUGGCUCACCUAGGCGACGAUACAUAGCCGACCUGAGAGGGUGAUCGGCCACACUGGGACUGAGACACGGCCCAGACUCCUACGGGAGGCAGCAGUAGGGAAUCUUCGGCAAUAGGGGCAACCCUGACCGAGCAACGCCGCGUGAGUGAAGAAGGUUUUCGGAUCGUAAAGCUCUGUUGUAAGUCAGGAACGGGUGUGAGAGUGGAAAGUUCACACUGUGACGGUAGCUUACCAGAAAGGGACGGCUAACUACGUG